AGCGAACGCUGGCGGCAGGCUUAACACAUGCAAGUCGAGCGCCCCGCAAGGGGAGCGGCAGACGGGUGAGUAACACGUGGGAACGUACCCUUUGGUUCGGAACAACUCAGGGAAACUUGGGCUAAUACCGGAUAAGUCCGCGAGGAGAAAGAUUUAUCGCCGAAGGAUCGGCCCGCGUCUGAUUAGCUAGUUGGUGUGGUAACGGCGCACCAAGGCGACGAUCAGUAGCUGGUCUGAGAGGAUGAUCAGCCACACUGGGACUGGGACACGGCCCAGACUCCUACGGGAGGCAGCAGUGGGGAAUAUUGGACAAUGGGGGCAACCCUGAUCCAGCCAUGCCGCGUGAGUGAUGAAGGCCCUAGGGUUGUAAAGCUCUUUCGGUGGGGAAGAUAAUGACGGUACCCACAGAAGAAGCCCCGGCUAACUUCGUG
rnacentral:rRNA from 1 species